rnacentral:misc_RNA from 1 species
AAAAAAAUCCAUAACACAAUUUACAAUUUCAUCCACACCCACCUUCACAUGAAGCAAAGUUUUGUCAACAUCGAGAUUUUUUUGUUCUGAUUUUCUGGGGAAAUCAUGAAAAUAUGAAACAGGAUCAAAAAGUCCAUGAACAGAACAAUUUGACAGUGAACUUUUUUUUUUUUUCAUUUAAAUUUGUUGCACCUAAUUGUUCAGCUUUUUUUUUUUUUU